GAUGAACGCUAGCUACAGGCUUAACACAUGCAAGUCGAGGGGCAGCAUUUUAGUUUGCUUGCAAACUGAAGAUGGCGACCGGCGCACGGGUGAGUAACACGUAUCCAACCUGCCGAUAACUCCGGAAUAGCCUUUCGAAAGAAAGAUUAAUACCGGAUAGUAUACGAAUAUCGCAUGAUAUUUUUAUUAAAGAAUUUCGGUUAUCGAUGGGGAUGCGUUCCAUUAGUUUGUUGGCGGGGUAACGGCCCACCAAGACUACGAUGGAUAGGGGUUCUGAGAGGAAGGUCCCCCACAUUGGAACUGAGACACGGUCCAAACUCCUACGGGAGGCAGCAGUGAGGAAUAUUGGUCAAUGGGCGCGAGCCUGAACCAGCCAAGUAGCGUGAAGGAUGAAGGCUCUAUGGGUCGUAAACUUCUUUUAUAUGGGAAUAAAGUUUUCCACGUGUGGAAUUUUGUAUGUACCAUAUGAAUAAGGAUCGGCUAACUCCGUGCCAGCAGCCGCGGUAAUACGGAGGAUCCGAGCGUUAUCCGGAUUUAUUGGGUUUAAAGGGAGCGUAGGUGGAUUGUUAAGUCAGUUGUGAAAGUUUGCGGCUCAACCGUGAAAUUGCAGUUGAAACUGGCAGUCUUGAGUACAGUAGAGGUGGGCGGAAUUCGUGGUGUAGCGGUGAAAUGCUUAGAUAUCACGAAGAACUCCGAUUGCGAAGGCAGCUCACUAGACUGUUACUGACACUGAUGCUCGAA
rnacentral:rRNA from 1 species